AAUGCACACAAACCCAAGGCCCUGUCUAACCAGUGACAUGCUCUUAAUGCGUUGUGCAAAAAUUAAUCUUUGAAUCUUGUCGCCUUUCUCUGAUGCUGUUGUGCCGUUGAAAGUGAAUCCAAGGUUUAACACGU
ensembl:snoRNA small nucleolar RNA SNORA68